CGCAGUGGAGUAAUACAAGAGAUAUGUGAACAGGCACGUGAAAACCAUAGACUGUACAUAAAGGUGAAAACAUGAGGACUGUGAUUCUCGCUCUGAUGGUGUUGGUGGGGGUCAGCCAAGGAAAAAUAUUGGCGUGUAGCUGUGGAGGCACGGCAAAGAUGUGUUUAGGCAGGGGGGAAACCUGCGGUUUGAAUCAAGUCUGUUCCAGCUUUCUCGUUUUGGUUCAAUCCACUGUCGACUUCUUCAUAACCUGCAUGAAUGCAAAAACCUGCAGGCUUCUGUGUGACACUUCUUAAUAAAGAUCAAUCAAUUG